rnacentral:rRNA from 1 species
CUGGGCGGUAAAGGGUGUGUAGGCGGUUUCUAAGUUUGGUGUGAAAUCUCGGCUCACGGGAGGUGCGCGAAACUGGAGACUAGAGUGCGGGAUGGAAGAGUAGAAUCCUGUGUAGCGUGAAAUGCGUAGAUAUCAGGAGGAAUACCGGUGGUGUAGACGGCUCUCUGGACCGCCACUGACGCUGAGACACGAAAGCGUGGGUAGCAAACAGGAUUAGAUACCCUGGUAGUCCACGCCCUAAACGAUGCAUAUUUGGUGUAGGUCAUUCAGUUGAUCUGUGCCGGAGCUAACGCGUUAAAUAUGCCGCCUGGGGAGUACAGUCGCAAGGCUGAAACUCAAAGGAAUUGACGGGGGCCCGCACAAGCGGUGGAGCAUGUGGUUCAAUUCGACGCAACGCGAAGAACCUUACCUGGGCUCGAGCGGCUGGUUAACGGCAUUGGAAACAGUGCUACUCCGCAAGGAGGUCCAGUCGAGGUGCUGCAUGGCUGUCGUCAGCUCGUGUCGUGAGAUGUUGGGUUAAGUCCCGCAACGAGCGCAACCCUUGUCCUGUGUUGCCAUCCCGCAAGGGGGGACUCGCAGGAGACCGCCAGCGAUAAGUUGGAGGAAGGUGGGGAUGACGUCAAGUCCUCAUGGCCUUUAUGUCCAGGGCUACACACGUGCUACAAUGGCCGGUACAAAGCGCAGCUAAGCCGCGAGGUGGAGCCAAUCGCAAAAAACCGGUCUCAGUUCGGAUUGCAGGCUGCAACUCGCCUGCAUGAAGCUGGAAUCGCUAGUAAUGGGGUAUCAGAACGAUGCCGUGAAUACGUUCCCGGGCCUUGUACACACCGCCCGUCACAUCACGAAAGUGGGUUGUAAUAGAAGUCUGCAGGCUGACCCGCAAGGGAGGCAGCGGCCCAAGGUAUGACUCAUGAUUGGGGUGAAGUCGUAACAAGGUAACCAAGCGCGAAUGCGCAGAGGAAGAAAG